CGGAGCCCAGCCACCUAGAC
rnacentral:miRNA from 1 species